CCUACGGGAGGCUGCAGUGGGGAAUAUUGCACAAUGGGGGAAACCCUGAUGCAGCGACGCCGCGUGAGUGAAGAAGUAAUUCGUUAUGUAAAGCUCUAUCAGCAGGGAAGAAAAUGACGGUACCUGAGUCAGAAGCCCCGGCUAACUACGUGCCAGCAGCCGCGGUAAUACGGAGGAUGCGAGCGUUAUCCGGAUUUAUUGGGUUUAAAGGGUGCGCAGGCGGGUUUUUAAGUCAGCGGUCAAAUCGUGGGGCUCAACCCCAUCCAGCCGUUGAAACUGGGGAUCUAGAGUGUGCGAGAGGUAUGCGGAAUGUGUGGUGUAGCGGUGUAAUGCAUAGAUAUCACGCAGAACCCCGAUUGUGAAGGCAGCAUACCGGUGCACAACUGACGCUCAGGCACGAAAGCGUGGGUAUCGAACAGGAUUAGAUACCCCUGUAGUC
rnacentral:rRNA from 1 species